UACGGGGGGGGCAAGCGUUGUUCGGAAUUACUGGGCGUAAAGGGCUCGUAGGCGCCAACUAAGUCAGACGUGAAAUCCCCAGGCUUAACCUGGGAACUGCGUCUGAUACUGGAUGGCUUGAAUUCGGGAGAGGGAUGCAGAAUUCCAGGUGUAGCGGUGAAAUGCGUAGAUAUCAGGAGGAACACCAACGGCGAAGGCAGCACUCUGGGCCGGUACUGACGCUGAGGAGCGAAAGCGUGGGGAGCAAACAGG
rnacentral:rRNA from 1 species